UAUUGGUCAAUGGCCUAACGGCCGAACCAGCAAUUUGGGGGAAUGUAAGUAUAUAAAUACACCUUGACUAUGUCAAAUAAAGUUCUAAAUAGAAGACUGAUAAUGACAAAUUUCUAUUUAUGUGUCUCGACCAAUUCUUGUGCCAGCAGUCGCGGCAACACAAGUGAGACUAGUGUUAUUCAUCUUUACUAGGUUUAAAGGGUACCUAGACGGUAUAUUCAGCCUCAAAAAGGUACAGAUUUACUAGAGUUUUACAGGAGAGGUAAAUAUUAGGACCAUUGGUGUAGAGAUGAAAUUCUUUGAUACUAAUGGGAUGUAUUAUGGCGAAGGCAACCCUCUAUAUAUAAACUGACGUUAAGGGACGAAGGCUUGGGGAGCGAAUAGGAUUAGAUACCCUAGUAGUCCAGGCAGAAAAUUAUGAGUGUUAUAUACUAAGUAUAAAAUAAGUGUAUAAAUGAAAGCGUAAGCACUCCACCUCAAGAGUAGUGUGGCAACACAGGAACUGAAAUCAUUAGACCGUUUCUGAAACCAGUAGUGAAGUAUGUUAUUUA
rnacentral:rRNA from 2 species